ACAGUCGUCAGGGAAACUCAACAAUGUGUCCUCGCAGACAGGACCCAGACUCAGCCGUCUGCAGAGAUUGCUGAUUAUUUCAAACAACGAUCAUCACCAUAGUUCUGAGUUUGCCUUGACAACGGAUGACAAGGAGAGCAAAAACCUCCUGAAGUCACCACUAAUUCAGAACAAGGAUCCUGAUAAUAACGUCGUGCUUGACCAACCACAUCUGGCAUUACAGUCAAGUCAGUUGUCCAUGUCAGUUGAAACACAUGGCGGAAGCAAAGAACCAACCCAACAUUUAAGGUUGAACCACACCUUACAACAUCUCAACAAGAUCUGUGAGAGGUAUACCCUCCCUACAGCGCCGUAUCCAUGACGAGGAAGUCCUCCAAUUGCCCCAGUUCGUACUCCCCUUCACUUAAGGGUCAGGUUCAACAGCAUUAAAGCCCUCCUUAAAGUGCUGCAUCCAUAGUGAUGAAGUCCUCCAACUCGCCCCAGUACUCCCCUUGCAGUCAGGGUCAGGUUCAACAGCAGAAGCCUAUUGACACAAACAAACUGGCGUAUCAGAUAGACAGCCUGUUGCAGCUGUUAGUCAUUCACAGAAAGCGCAGUGAUGGAUAAACAUUAACAAUUCCUAGUUUCUUAGUGCCUGUGUCGUUUGUGAACACGGACAAUAGAAGUCAUCAUCUUAAAAUUUUGAAAUGUGGAAAACAAGUGGCAUGGUUCAGAUUGAAAUGGUAGAAUGACCAUGUUUGACAAGUCCUGUGAUAAUCCAAGCUGUGUGUAAGAAUGAACUAUAGUUAAUGUCUUGUGGGAAUUAUGAUGAUGUCAGUGAUUUGAUGUGAACAAGUUAGUUAUAACAACGUGAAAGUUACUAAUAAAAAACAGUUACCUAAAUUAUUUUAAAUGCAAAUUUGUGUAAGUCUGUGUUGUAACUUUUCUGUAUUCUGACAAUUUCACUCUUGAUUUUGAUCCAGAUGUAAAAAAGAUUGACAAUAUCAAAAUAUGAUUUUUUCUUGCCUUGAUUUUAACCUUAAGCAAAGCUGUUUAAAUUAUUAUUGGUAAUUUGAACACAUUUUCAUACAUCUGUUAUAUUUUGUAAUAACAUAAGACAUACUUCAAUUUUGUUUUUCUCAGUAAUAUAGUUAGACGCGCUAGUUGAAAACUGUUAAGAACGAGUAAUAAUUGUGACGCUUUUAUUUUGAGCUAUUGUAUUUCCGAAUGUAUUAGAAACUUAUCAGAUGCUCGUUUGAGUCAGUAUUUUAUCUAGAAUCUUGUGAAGUCUCAUACAAUUUUAAAAUUAAAGAAAAAUAUCAAUUGAAUUGAGAUUUUAUUUUCCGUAAAUUGUAAAGUUUUUAUUAACUACCAGUACUUUAUUAUCCCCACGUUUUUCGGAGAAAAAGUGGGGAUAUUAUAUUGAUGUGUGUCUGUCCGUCCGUCAGUCCUGGCCACAUGCUCCUCCUACACAAUUAGCACUAGAACCUUGAAACUUACAUACAUGGUAGCUAUGAGCAUAUGUGCGACGGUGACAGUGACGGAAUUUGUAUCUGACCCCUGGGUCAAAAGUUAUGGGGGUUGGGUGGGGGCGGUUCAGAGAUUUUCACUCAUUUUGUUUAUGUUAUUUUACAUUAACUUCUUCUUUCUGCACCUAUUUACUUCAAAUUGAUACUGAGCCUCUCUUAUGACAAUAAGGUCAAUCUCAACUAUGCAUGGCCCCAUUACCAACCCUGGGGCGCCCCGGCCACAUAGGCCAUGCCCACCCAAAAUUGCCUUUAACUUGAAUUUCUUCAUUACUACACAGAUUAACUUCAAAUUGAUACUGAACCUCUCUUAUGACAAUACGGUCAAUCUCAGCUAUGCAUGGCACCAUUACCAACCAUUACAACCCUAGGGCAUCCUGCCCACAUAGGCCACGUCCACCCAAAAUUGCCAUUUACUAUAAUUUCUCUACACCGAUUCACUUCAAAUUGAUACUGAACCUCUCUUAUGACAAUACCGUCAAUCUCAGCUAUUCAUGGCCCCAUUACCAACCCUGGGGCGCCCCGCCCACAUAGGCUCAUAUAGGCCACGCCCACCCAAAAUUGCCUUUUACUAUAAUUUCUUCAUUUCUACACCGAUUCACUCUCAAUUGAUAAUGAACCUCUUUUAUGACAAUAUGGUCAAUCUCAACUAUGCAUGGUGCCAUUACCAACCCUGGGGCGCCCCGCCCACAUAGGUCACGCCCACCCAAAAUUGCCUUUUACUAUAAUUUCUUCAUUUCUACACUGAUUUACUUAAAAUUGAUACUGAACAUCUCUUAUGACAAUACGGUCAAUCUCAACUAUGUUAGGCUCCAUUACCAACUCUGGGGCGCUCCGCCCAUAAUAGGCCACACCUACCCAAAAUUGAAUUUGACUAUAAUUUCUUCAUUUCUACAGCGAUUGACUUCUAAUUGAUACUGAACUUCUCUUAUGACAAUACGGUCAAUCGCAACUAUGUAUGGCCCCAUUACUAACCCUGGGGCGCCCCGCCCAUAAAAGGCCACACCCACAUAGGCCACGCCCACCCAAAAUUGCCUUUUACUAAAUUACUUCAUUUGUACACCGAUUCACUUCAAAUUGAUACUGAACCUCUCUUAUGACAAUACAGUUAAUCUCAACUAUGCAUGGCCCCAUAACCAUCCCUGGGGCGCCCACAUAGGCCACCCCCACCCAAAAUUGCCUUUUACUAUAAUAUCUUCAUUUCUACACCGAUUCACUUCAAAUUGAUACUGAACCUCUUUUAUGACAAUACAGUCAAUCUCAACUAUGCAUGGCGCCAUUACCAACCCUGGGGCACCCGGCCCACAUAGGCCACGCCCACCCUAAAUUGCCUUUUACUAUAAUUUCUUCAUUUCUACACCGAUUUACUUCAAAUUGAUACUGAAAAUCUCUUAUGACAAUGCGGUCAAUCUCAACUAUGUAUGGCCCCUUUACCAACCCUGGGGCACCCCGCCUAUAAUAGGCCACACCCACCCAAAAUUGUCUUUUACUAUAAUUUCUUCAUUUCUACACCGAUUCACUUCUAAUUGAUACUGAACUUUUCUUAUACCAACCAUGGGGCGCCCUGAGUCAAACAUGCGGCGUGGGGAUAUGCGUGGGCCUCUGCCGCGCCAUUUUUAGUUAAAGAUUGACACAAUUUCAUCAUAUUAUAAAAGCUGUAUUCAUGCUCAAAACUCUGAAAAUUGACACGAAACUUAUGUUGUUAUCACUUUAAAAAAGAUUGUUUAUAAAAUGUGUUAAAUGAUAACAAAAAGCCUAUUAUUUUGUGGAAUGCUUUCAAUUUAUUCAUGUAUCAGGAUGCGAUUAUUUAUGUAAUAUGACCAAAGUUAUACUUGUUUAUUACUUAAUGGUGGAUAACACACUUAUUAUUUACAUGCUCAUCGCUAGUGUUGACGUUUGUAUUCGGACACAAUAGUUUAUGAUGCUUUGUAAAAACUGUGCAGGCUUGUAUGGAAAACCUGCUUGGUAUGUGCGUUCAAGAGUAAUGUUACUUGACCAAGAUAGUGUAGUCAAUGUAUAUGUGUAUAUUAUGUUAUUGUUGAUAUGUAGCAAAACACAUCAUUCUCCGGUGUACAUUAUUUAUGAUUUUUUAUUUUUUCAAUUUGAUUAAUUCACCGUCUUAUGUUUUGUUUUAUGAACAUAUUUUAGAUGCAAGGCAAUACAAAUAACAUUGCAUGUGUAAAUGCUCUUAUGUAAUUUAAUGUAUAUUGUAGUAAACAAAAAUAUAUUGAAGAGAAAAAAUAUAUUUAGGAAAUAUAAACACAUUGUUAUAUACAAUACGUUUUGUCUUUCCUAUACAAAUGUAAGCAAACACUAGACAAUAUAUAAUUAUGUCAGAAAUAUUUUGAAAAUACUAAUAUGUCAAGAUUAGGUUACCCAUUGCAUAUCAAGGUAGAUCAAUUUGAUAUGCUUAAAAUUGUCAAUAACUGCAGUUGUGGGUGAGGUCACAAUAUACUAAAAACACAAGUGUUCAAUCUACUUUAAGUUUGUUAAAAUGAAUAAAAACAAGAGGUAGAACAGCAUAUAAUGUAUCGUCAAAACACACACAGUUUAUAUUACAAGAUUGAUGUCUUAGUCCUGAUGCAAAUGUUACAUGCUUUCAGGUAGAUAAUAAGCACCCAUAGAAUGUGUAAACUACAGUUUCAAUGAUGCGGUUUGGUAUAAAGUGGUACCAUUUUAUCUGUAAGCAAAAUACGGCAACAAGUCCUUUAUUGCAAUUAAUUGUUAAUCCCGUUUCUAGUCUCAAUCUGUUGUUUAGUUUCUGAAUAACUAUGUAUUGUUUAAAAUCCGAAACGUAAGGAACCUAGAAUUUGAGUAUUUUCGGGUACCAAUUGCACCCUUGUUAACUGCCAGUUAAGAUGAUCAGAUAUAAUAUUUCCAAACAAGCUUUGAAAAAUCUUGCUCAAGCUUUAAAACAAAUGUUAGCCUGCUUCUUUGUAAUUAUACUAAUGUAUAGUUGUUUUUCCAUAUUUUAUGUUUUUCAAAUGUGUCAAAAUGUAAAAAGAAUGCAUAAAUGUUAUCAUUGGUGACUGUUUAAAUGUCUUAUUACAAGCUCUAGAGGGGAAUAUGUUUUAAAAGCCCCAGUACAUACCAAUUAUUUGUUAUUUGAUAAAUUUAAAUGCAGGUUUUUGUUAUUUAAGUUUUAACAUAUUUUAAUUACAAAAAAAUUUGUGACGCUUGUUAAAAUUGUAUAUGAAAAGAGUGAGCAAAAUUUGGAUGCAAGCCAUAUUCCGUAAAUAAAUUUAUAUAGUACGUCUCGGUUUUACCUUUCCCUUAACCAUACCUAGUAUUUAUACAAUAAAAUUUAAUGAUAUGAUGAACAAAAUGAUAAUUUGCCAAACAUUUUUCUGUUAUAUCGGUGUAGUUUUUAUAUGUAUAUAUGGUUUUAAGUUUUUGUGUUGUCCAUGCUAUAUUGACUUUAUUUUAAUAUGUCUAUAUAUUAUUAUGCCCCCCUUCGAAGAAGACGGGGUAUAUUGCUUUGCUCAUGUCGGUCUGUCUGUCGGUCGGUCUGUCCGUCCACCAGGUGGUUGUCAGACGAUAAGGCAAGAACGCUUGGGCCUAGGAUCAUGAAACUUCAUAGGUACAUUGAUCAUGACUCGCAGAUGACCCCUAUUGAUUUUGAGGUCACUAGGUCAAAGGUCACGGUGACCAGAAAUAGUAAAAUGGUUUUUGAAUGAUAACUCAAGAACGCAUACGCCUAGGAUCAUGAAACUUCAUGGGUAGAUUGAUCAUGACUCGCAGAUGACCCCUAUUGAUUUUGAGGUCACUAGGUCAAAGGUCAAGGUCACGGUGACCCGAAAUAGUAAAAUGGUAUCCGGAUGAUAACUCAAGAACGCAUACGCCUAGGAUCAUGAAACUUCAUGGGUAGAUUGAUCAUGACUCGCAGAUGACCCCUAUUGAUUUUGAGGUCACUAGGUCAAAGGUCAAGGUCACGGUGACCCGAAAUAGUAAAAUGGUUUUCGGAUGAUAACUCAAGAACGCAUACGCCUAGGAUCAUGAAACUUCAUAGGUAGAUUGAUCAUGACUUGCAGAUUACCCCUAUUGAUUUUGAGGUCACAAGUUCAAAGGUCACGGUGACCUGAAAUAGUAAAAUGAUUUUCGGAUGAUAGCUCAAGAACACUUUUGCCUAGGAUCAUGACACUUCAUAGGUACAUUGAUCGUGACCCGCAGAUGACCCCUAUUGAUUUUCAGGUCACUAGGUCAAAGGUCAAGGUCACAGUGACAAAAAUCGUAUUCACACAAUGGCUGCCACUACAACGGACAGCCCAUAUGGGGGGCAUGCAUGUUUUACAAACAGCCCUUGUUUUACAUAUUAAACCAUAGUAUUUUCCCCGUUAUAUCGACGUAGUUUCAAUAUAUCUAUAUAGUAUAGAUAUUACUAGUUUUAGUUAUAUUAUUUGUGUCUGCGUUGUUUCAGUAUGUCUAUAUAGUAAAUAUAUUAAACUGUUUACCGUAAUAACUCAAAGUUUUCGGACACUUAAAAAAAUCGUGUCCAAAAUUUAGAUACUUAAAAUAUUCAAAAAGUACGAGUUUCCGAAAUUUAGAGACAUAUAAUAAAAACAAUUAAUAAAUGUGCACUAAUUGUAUUGUGUUGCACUCUCCUUCCUCUGCUUUCAAUAAAAUACUUCAUUUAUGUGCUAUCUCUUACCUGAAAGGGUAUAUAAAACGUUAUAAAACAAACAACCAUACUGCUUCCUGAAUACGAUAUCAUUUCGAAUGCUGUUGGGUGAAACGAUUGUUUAUUACCGGUAUACAUGGUUAUCUACCCAAUAACGCAAUGCUAAAAAACGGGGUGUCCGAAAACUUAAGUGUCCGAAAACUUAGAGUUAUUACGGUAAGUUAUGGUAUUUUUCGCGUUAUAUUGACGUUGUUUUAAUAUUUCUAUAGACAUUAACAGUUUUAAGUUUCAAUAUUUUAACCGUAAUCGGCGUAGUUAAAAUAUGUCUUUAUAUUUUUAAUUUUAGCCAACCGUUUUAAAUCUCAGCUGCGUUGCAGCAGAUUCCUGGACAUGAUAUCCGCGUUUUCCUGGGUUCGAUCUCUACCAAGGAACAAUUUGAAAGAACAUUGAAGAGGAGACUUCGAGCAUUAGUUCUAUUCAGAAAUCGUACCAAACACUUUCCCAUUAAUGAACGAUUAAGGCAAAAAUUCACAUUAUGUCUUAGAUUGGUUUUUUGCAAGGCAUCGUCUGUAAUCUUAUAAUUGAACAUAUACCAAAUUGGAAAAACAGCGAUAUUUGUUUGUCAUCUAUCUUGUGUCUUUGUCGUCCCGGAAGUACUCUUGAAACUGUUAAAACCAUCAUAAAAUCAAAGACCUAUCAAUAUGCAUCCCUCUCUGCUGCAAAAGAAAUUUUGUUUCCAUCGAAGCACUUUUCCAUUACUGACUUAAAUUAAUGUAAUUUUCAAACAUAGUGUUUUGUUCGGAUUGCUUAGCUAUCCCAGGAAUGGGAGAGGUACCCAAUAUAUUGUACAUUGGAUCUGUUUGAAGAUUUUUAAGUGUGCUUUUAUACGCAAUAGGAAACACUUGCUGGAACCGCUGGUUUUCCGCAUCAUCAAACUCUUGUUUGCCGCUAGACGGCUGUGAACUCUUUCUGUAGUCUGCAGCUGCAAGAAGUAAUUAAUAUGAAUAAACUAUAUGUAUUAGACUUGACCGUAUUUAUUUUGUUUAAAUCUGUACAGAUCUUGCAAAGUAUCCACGUUGGUCACCUGUUUUACACAAAAUGUUACAGAAAUGUUGUUCUUUCAUUUUAUGAAUCUCGUUCUGAGAAAAUUGGACAUAAUGUUUUUGCGUAAAUUGUCAUUCCAGAUUAGCCUGUGCAGUUCAUACAGGCUAACCAGGGACGACACUUUCCGCUUAUAUGACAUUUUUCGUUUAAAUAAAGUCUCUUAUUAGUAAAAAACCAAUUUAGGCGUAAAGUGUCGUACUUGAUUAGCCUUGGUGGACUGCACAGGCUAAUCUGGGAUGAAACUACGCACAAGCAUUAUGUCCAGUUUUCUCGAAACGCGACUCGUGUAAUGAAACAACAUUUCUUCAAUAAAAAGGUAUUUCGUUAAUUUAUUAUUAACUGUUGUGUAAUGUUGUAUGUUGUUAAAUAUGAUAUUAAAUUAUCAUAUAAUU